rnacentral:rRNA from 1 species
GAUGGCUGUCGUCAGCUCGUGCCGUGAGGUGUUAGGUUAAGUCCUGUAACGAGCGCAACCCCUGCCGUUAGUUACAUGUGUCUAACGGGACUGCCCGGCUCAACUGGGAGGAAGGUGGGGACGACGUCAAGUCAGCAUGGCCUUUAUAUCCUGGGCUACACACACGCUACAAUGGUCGGUACAAUGGGUCGCCAAGCCGCGAGGCGGAGCCAAUCCUCCAAAACCGGCCUCAGUUCAGAUUGUAGGCUGCAACUCGCCUGCAUGAAGUUGGAGUUGCUAGUAACCGCGCGUCAGCUAUAGUGCGGUGAAUACGUUCCCGGGGCUU